rnacentral:misc_RNA from 1 species
GAAAAAUAUUAUCAUAAAAUAUAUUUAAGUAUAAACUCAUUUUAGAUUUAAUUAUAUAUUAUAUGAAUUCAUUUGAUUAAAUCGAUUGCUCAAAAAUAAUUUAUCGGUUUUAUUUAUUUUCCGUGAAACGCACGCAUGCCGAAACAUAAGAUUUACUGUUUCAGCACUGGUGUAGAAACUCGAAAGUUUAGUCUCCACUAACUUAAAGAAUUCAUUAAAUUAUUGGGCCAACCGAUGUAUCCAGCCCCACCUAUUAGGAUUUGCCUUUUUCUUUCGUAUGUUUCUUCUUAUAAAUGUUCCCGCACUUGUCGGACAUCCCGUGCUUGGGAUGGUAAAAGGAAUCUUAUCUUAGAUGUGACAUGGGGUAUGGGCAGUCACAAUUUUCAAGUGAUGAUGUUGUGCUCAAUUUGCCCUUUUUUCAUUUUCUUUUGUAUUGUUUUCCAUAUCCUUCCUCUUGCAGAUCCUGAUGGGAUGGGUGCCUUUUGGAGGUUGGUGUCCACUUGUGGGUCCACCAUCUCCUAGGGCCAAAUUUGGGCGGCGACAUCUGUCUUGAGCUUGUAGGUUGGUUGUUAAUACUUGGUAGAGUUCACUGUGAAACAGGUUUAUCUGCAAGUGAUAAUGAGUCAAUUGAUUUUUAGCGGGGUUUUACCUGUGAAAUUGUGCAAGAGAAAUCUGAGACCAGGUUGGCCAAACAUGUCAGUCUGGACUUUGCACUGCCUAUAGUGGGUCCUUCAGUUAUCAGCCUGGCCAAACAUGCAGUGGUCAUUCAGUUAUCAAUGCAUAAUUUCUUUGAAGAUUUUAUGCAAUUUGAAUGUUCACAAUUUAUGCAAUGUAAAAGGACCGAUCCCCUCUUUUUGCUGAUUUUAUAUGCCACCUAUCAUGUUAUGUUUUGGAUGCUCGUCUGCCUAAUGGAUUUUCUUUUGUUGGCGGGGUUGUAGAUAGAAGUGGCCGCAGUUCAAUCAAAAUUAGAGCAGACUAAAAUUGGUCAGUUUGAUUUAGACUCAAAAAUAUUUUCUUUUUUUUUCUAAAAAAAGAAAAUAUUUCUUUUAUAUAAUUUUGACCGUUAAAUUUGAUCAAAUUGAAUUGGAAUCAAAAUCAAAGGAAUCUCUCCAGUUUUGGUCCUCCUAGCGUUGGAACCGGACCUUGGUGGAGUCUUAUUGUCGGUGAGACUUUCCCACCACAUCAUCAUUAUCAUGAUUAUUAGCCAUCAAUUUUUUAUUUUUUAUUUUUUUCCCCCUAAGAUAAGACUAGUUCUCUUAAAUAGAGCAUAAUUUAUAUGAUAUAGAACUCUUAAGAGAAAUGCUAAAUCUUGCUGGAUGGAAACUUUCGACCAUUCAAAUUCUGAUUAUUGGUGGUUCUCUAGGGGUUCAUCAUUUAUUGCUGCAAUAAGGAUCGAGAAUUGCCCGUAGCAUUAGACAUGAACAAGUUUAAUUCACUAAAAUCUUCAACAACUCUUAAUUCUAGCUUUAUACUUUCCAUUUGCUAAACUAAACUGUAUCCCUUUACCUUUUCUGCUUUUGUUUUUCCCCCCUUUUCCUUCUAUUGGUAGUAUUAUAGAUUUUUCAUAAUGCAAGGCCAUGGACUGUGUGUCACGAGUCAUUUUUGUAAUUUUGACUUGCAGAUAGCAGAGUACAGAAGUUACAAACUAGAAAAU